UACGGAGGGGGCCAGCGUUGUUCGGAAUCAUUGGGCGUAAAGGGCGCGUAGGCGGCCAGCACAAGUCAGUUGCGAAAUCUCCGAGCUUAACUCGGAAAGGUCAACUGAUACUGUGCGGCUAGAGUGCGGAAGGGGCAACUGGAAUUCUUGGUGUAGCGGUGAAAUGCGUAGAUAUCAAGAGGAACACCUGCGGCGAAGGCGGGUUGCUGGGCCGACACUGACGCUGAGGCGCGAAAGCUAGGGGAGCGAACGGG
rnacentral:rRNA from 1 species